CCUACGGGUGGCAGCAGUCGAGAAUCAUUCACAAUGGGGGAAACCCUGAUGGUGCGACGCCGCGUGGGGGAAUGAAGGUCUUCGGAUUGUAAACCCCUGUCAUGUGGGAGCAAAUUAAAAAGAUAGUACCACAAGAGGAAGAGACGGCUAACUCUGUGCCAGCAGCCGCGGUACUACAGAGGUCUCAAGCGUUUUUCGGAAUCACAGGGCGUAAAGCGUGCGUAGGCUGUUUCGUAAGUCGUGAGUGAAAGGCGCGGGCUCAACCCGCGGACGGCACAUGAUACUGCGAGACUAGAGUAAUGGAGGGGGAACCGGAAUUCUCGGUGUAGCAGUGAAAUGCGUAGAUAUCGAGAGGAACACUCGUGGCGAAGGCGGGUUCCUGGACAUUAACUGACGCUGAGGCACGAAGGCCAGGGGAGCGAAAGGGAUUAGAUACCCCAGUAGUC
rnacentral:rRNA from 1 species